CACCUCCUACGGGGGGCAGCAGUGAGGAAUAUUGGUCAAUGGCCGAGAGGCUGAACCAGCCAAGUCGCGUGAGGGAUGACGGCCCUACGGGUUGUAAACCUCUUUUGUCGGGGAGCAAAGAGAGUCACGUGUGACUCAUUGAGAGUACCCGAAGAAAAAGCAUCGGCUAACUCCGUGCCAACAGCCGCGGUAAUACGGAGGAUGCGAGCGUUAUCCGGAUUUAUUGGGUUUAAAGGGUGCGCAGGCGGAGGUGCAAGUCAGCGGUCAAAUUGCGGGGCUCAACCCCGUACUGCCGUUGAAACGGC
rnacentral:rRNA from 1 species